rnacentral:rRNA from 1 species
AGAGUUUGAUCCUGGCUCAGGAUGAACGCUGGCGGCGUGCUUAACACAUGCAAGUCGAACGGAGGACCCUUGACGGAGUUUUCGGACAACGGAUAGGAAUCCUUAGUGGCGGACGGGUGAGUAACGCGUGAGGAACCUGCCUUGGAGAGGGGAAUAACACAGAGAAAUUUGUGCUAAUACCGCAUGAUGCAGUUGGGUCGCAUGGCUCUGACUGCCAAAGAUUUAUCGCUCUGAGAUGGCCUCGCGUCUGAUUAGCUAGUUGGUAGGGUAAUGGCCUACCAAGGCGACGAUCAGUAGCCGGACUGAGAGGUUGACCGGCCACAUUGGGACUGAGACACGGCCCAGACUCCUACGGGAGGCAGCAGUGGGGAAUAUUGGGCAAUGGGCGCAAGCCUGACCCAGCAACGCCGCGUGAAGGAAGAAGGCUUUCGGGUUGUAAACUUCUUUUAUGAGGGACGAAGGAAGUGACGGUACCUCAUGAAUAAGCUCCGGCUAACUACGUGCCAGCAGCCGCGGUAAUACGUAGGGAGCGAGCGUUAUCCGGAUUUACUGGGUGUAAAGGGCGUGUAGGCGGGGAAGCAAGUCAGAUGUGAAAACCAGUGGCUCAACCACUGGCCUGCAUUUGAAACUGUUUUUCUUGAGUGAUGGAGAGGCAGGCGGAAUUCCGUGUGUAGCGGUGAAAUGCAUAGAUAUACGGAAGAACACCAGUGGCGAAGGCGGCCUGCUGGACAUUAACUGACGCUGAGGCGCGAAAGCGUGGGGAGCAAACAAAGAUUAGAUACCCUGGUAGUCCACGCUGUAAACGAUGGAUACUAGGUGAGGGGGGACUGACCCUUUCCGUACACGCAGUUAACACAAUAAGUAUCCCACAUGGGGAGUACGAUCGCAAGGUUGAAACUCAAAGGAAUUGCCGGGGGCCCGCACAAGCGGUGGAGUAUGUGGUUUAAUUCGACGCAACGCGAAGAACCUUACCAAGGCUUGACAUCUACUUAAGCUCAUGGAAACAUGAGGUCCCUUCGGGGGAAGUAAGACAGGUGGUGCAUGGUUGUCGUCAGCUCGUGUCGUGAGAUGUUGGGUUAAGUCCCGCAACGAGCGCAACCCCUGUUGCCAGUUACCAGCAAGUAAAGUUGGGGACUCUGGUGAGACUGCCGGGGACAACUCGGAGGAAGGUGGGGACGACGUCAAAUCAUCAUGCCCCUUAUGUCUUGGGCUACACACGUGCUACAAUGGCUGUAACAAAGGGAAGCGACCUUGUAAGAGGAAGCGGAUCUCAGAAAAGCAGUCCCAGUUCGGAUUGUGGGCUGCAACCCGCCCACAUGAAGUCGGAGUUGCUAGUAAUCGCGGAUCAGCAUGCCGCGGUGAAUACGAUCCCGGGUCUUGUACACACCGCCCGUCA